GUUAGUUAUGAAUUAAGAAGAGAAAUUGAUCAAAUCGGAAAAUAAAAUGAAGUUACAUCACUUCCGUUAUGAAGUUGCAACGCUCCGACGAAAGGUGGCGUACGGCCAGAGCUGCGUGAAGUCGGGGGAGUCACUACAGAGUCGUCGUGUCGAGAGGACGUGUACUGCCGUUAUAGUCGGGCAGUCUACCGCGAACCAUCGUCUUGAGCGGACGUAUCGAAUAAUUACGAUCGGAACGUGGAGUGCUAUAGUCGCUCACCUAUAACUUGUAGGGACGUCAAGAAAGUGUGAUCGGAAAAGAGCACCUAGCAAGUACGUUCACAUGUCCCGAUGAUUCGGUCCGAAUGUUGGAACCAUGGGUGGUGGAGGGCCCCUUCGCGCUAACGUCCUUAUGCGCGCUAGAAACGAGAGACUGUGUAACCGUUACGAAUACCGUGACGUUGCCGUGAGUGUGUACCUUAUGCUGUGACUUUAUUUAAUCGUGAUACAAAAACUAUGUGGAAGUAAAUAAAAUGAUUGUGAUACUGAUGACGGCCAUUAUUGUCUUCUAACGCCCACUCUUCAAACGCCCACCCUCCAUUCUGAUGAUGAUGUUACGACCGACCCCACUGUUACGACAUCAGAAGCGGGAUUAGUGAACUUGGAUGAAGACAAUGUGAUGCGACGUUCACAACAAGACAAUGCAAGUUUCGAUUAUCACAAUCAGAAGAAGAUUAUGAUGACUAUCACAUUCGUGUGAUCACGUGAUGAAGAUGUAGUGUCCAUUGAAGAUGGACCUGAAUUUGAAGUGACCUGGACCUUGUUAAUGAUCGGCAUCACUACAUGCCGUGAGAUAUGAUGGCGUGAACAUCACAAUAUUUCCGUAAUGUGUGCAGUCGUGUUAGGAAAUUAUGGUACCUCAACUUGGAAACUGUAAUUACGGUGAGUCGUUUUCAUACUGGAACCUUAUUGUUAUUGACUUCAUUGCUGGGUGAAUUUUCGUUUCUAAUAAUGAGGAAAUUGAUUUAAAAUUAACUAGGAAAUUACUAUUCCCGUUUGUUUAAAAAGAAAAUUGACGAGAAAUAUUGUGUCAAUCCGUUCAAUCAUACCGCGUUUUCCAAUCUGUUUUCAUCAUCGUCAAAUCUUUGUAUUUUGGUCUAAAAAUAUUUCGAAUUGGUGUAGACACGCUUAACCUGCGUGAUUAAAGUUGUAUUUUCGCACUCCAAGCAAAAAGAAAUUAAUCAUGACAUGAUAAUUAAGCCUCGUUAAAUAACGUGUUUUGUAAUCUACCGUCAUUCAUCAAAUCUUUCAAUAUUCAACAUUCUUUAUUGUAAUCUUUUUAAACUGAUUGAAAGAAAGUCUUGUGAAUACGAUAAUACAGUGAAUUCUUUUGUUUCAUGUUAUAACUUGGUUCGGCAAUUGGUGGAUUGCAAGCGGGGAUGAAAAUGGCGCGGGCUGAACUGUAGCCGUGUAAAGUGACGACAUCAUGGCAGCGCGUUGUAUACCGGCCGGACUUGCUGCGCUGUUGCUGUUGAAGACCUAAACCAUGUCACAAGACCAGUGGUUGAUCUUUUAUUGGAAAUUCUUAUAAGUCCUGGUGAGUCGUAUCUGUUUUACCUGAUUUGAGAGAUGGGAAGUUUUAAUAAGAUACAAAUGAAUAUAGUGCAGAAAGUUCUCUUUAGUUAACUUUAGUUAAAUUGGAACUCGUAGUGAAGUGAAGUAAACAUUGCGAAGUAAAAUGAUUUGGAUUAUGAUUAAGUGAAAUAGACUUGGAAAAAAUGCCUCGAAGCGAAUUGCCUUCUGAGUUAAAUGUUACUGAUUUAGAGAGUGAAUAAGAUGUUACACGGCACACAUACUUUGGUAUUGUUAUUUUCUCUUUUGUUGUUGUGCUGCAUUUCCAGCGUAGUCGUAACUGCAGUCCCGUUAGAGGCUGUUCAGGGCGCGGUGUGCGACUGGAGGUGUGGUGAGUGUGUAGGUCCAUGGGGACCUGGUUUUAGUGGUAUAUGAUUACCUUGUUGAGUUGACCAAUGAUGGUCUGUUAUGAAAGUGGCAAAUGGUUGCUAAUGUUGACUUAUAACCGAGUAUUUAUGUGCCCGUGUAUGUGUGUGUAUAAUGAACAGUCUAAGAUACUUUUUGUUUUUUUUUUUAUCAUUAGUUGUUGAUUGAGGCAUUCUUUCAAAUUGUUUACUCUAUGUGGUGAUGCACUCUGGAAAUCCACUUGAUGGGUAUGUGUACUGAAGUCUCAUGUAGAGCUCAUGUAGAGUCACAAGUAGAGCUCAUGUAGAGUCACAAGUAGAGCUCAUGUAGAGUCACAAGUAGAGCUCAUGUAGAGUCACAAGUAGAGCUCAUGUAGAGUCACAAGUGGAGCUCAUGUAGAGUCACAAAUAGAGCUCGGACGAGUCCUUUAUAGAGUGUCAUGUCAGGUCAGGAAUGACCGAGCGAACUUGGAUACUGUGCUGUGGUAUAUUGUUUCAGAUUAACACACGAGGACGUGUGUCACGCAGGAUGGCCGUGUCGGCGUUAGUUAUGAAUUAAGAAGAGAAAUUGAUCAAAUCGGAAAAUAAAAUGAAGUUACAUCACUUCCGUUAUGAAGUUGCAACGCUCCGACGAAAGGUGGCGUACGGCCAGAGCUGCGUGAAGUCGGGGGAGUCACUACAGAGUCGUCGUGUCGAGAGGACGUGUACUGCCGUUAUAGUCGGGCAGUCUACCGCGAACCAUCGUCUUGAGCGGACGUAUCGAAUAAUUACGAUCGGAACGUGGAGUGCUAUAGUCGCUCACCUAUAACUUGUAGGGACGUCAAGAAAGUGUGAUCGGAAAAGAGCACCUAGCAAGUACGUUCACAUGUCCCGAUGAUUCGGUCCGAAUGUUGGAACCAUGGGUGGUGGAGGGCCCCUUCGCGCUAACGUCCUUAUGCGCGCUAGAAACGAGAGACUGUGUAACCGUUACGAAUACCGUGACGUUGCCGUGAGUGUGUACCUUAUGCUGUGACUUUAUUUAAUCGUGAUACAAAAACUAUGUGGAAGUAAAUAAAAUGAUUGUGAUACUGA